rnacentral:snoRNA from 14 species
AGAUAUCAGAAUUAAGAUAGAAAAGUGAAUUCCCAUUAGGUUUUCCAUAUGCUACUUGAGUAGCACUUAACCUGUUGGGAACAUUU